rnacentral:rRNA from 1 species
CUAGCGAGCCCACCUCCCACCCGUGUUUACUGUAACCUUAGUUGCUUCGGCGGGCCCGCCUUUAAGGCCGCCGGGGGGCAUCAGCCCCCGGGCCCGCGCCCGCCGGAGACACCACGAACUCUGUCUGAUCUAGUGAAGUCUGAGUUGAUUGUAUCGCAAUCAGUUAAAACUUUCAACAAUGGAUCUCUUGGUUCCGGCAUCGAUGAAGAACGCAGCGAAAUGCGAUAACUAGUGUGAAUUGCAGAAUUCCGUGAAUCAUCGAGUCUUUGAACGCACAUUGCGCCCCCUGGUAUUCCGGGGGGCAUGCCUGUCCGAGCGUCAUUGCUGCCCAUCAAGCACGGCUUGUGUGUUGGGUCGUCGUCCCCUCUUCGGGGGGGACGGGCCCCAAAGGCAGCGGCGGCACCGCGUCCGAUCCUCGAGCGUAUGGGGCUUUGUCACCCGCUCUGUAGGCCCGGCCGGCGCUUGCCGAACGCAAAACAACCAUUCUUUCCAGGUUGACCUCGGAUCAGGUAGGGAUACCCGCUGAACUUAAGCAUAUCAAUAAGCGG